rnacentral:rRNA from 1 species
AUGGACCCGCGUGCAUAACGCUAGUUGGUGAGGUAACGGCUCACCAUGGCACAAUGCAUGACCGACCUGAGGGGUGAUCGGCCACACUGGGACUGAAACACGGGCCACACUCCUACGGGAGGCAGCAUGGGGGAAUCUUCGGCAAUGGACGAAAGUCUGACCGAGCAACGCCGCGUGAGUGAAGAAUGUUUUCGGAUCGGAGGUCUGUUGUUAUAGAAGAACAAGGACGUUAGUAACUGAACGUCCCCUGACGGUAUCUAACCAGAAAGCCACGGCUAACUACGUGCCAGCAGCCGCGGUAAUACGUAAGGUGGCAAGCGUUGUACCCGGAUUUAUUGGGCGUAAAGCGACGCGCGGCGGUUUCUUUCAAAGUCUGAUGUUGAAAGCCCCCGGGGCCUCAACCGGGGAGGGUGUGCAUUGUGAAACUGGGAGAAGCUUGAGUGCAAAUAGGAGAGUGGAAGUGAAUUUCCAUGUGUUAAGCGGUGAAAUGCGUAGAUAAUUAUGGAGGAACACCCAUCAGUGGGCGAAAGGGCGGCUCUCUGGUCUGUAACUGACGCUGAGGCUGCGCUGCGAAAGCGUUGGGGGGAGCAAACAAGAUUAGAUACCCUGGGUAGUCCACGCCGUAAACGGAUGACUGCUAAGUGUUGGAGGGUUUCCGCCCUUCAGUGCUGGCAGCAAACGCAUUAAACACUCCGCCUGGGGAGUACGACCGCAAUGUUGAAACUCAAAGGCAUUGACUGGGGGCACGCACAUGCGGUCGAGCAUGCUGGUAUAAUUCGAAGCUACGCGAAGCAUCUUACCAGGUCUUCGACAUCCGUUUGACCACUCUACAGAUAGAGCUAUCCCUUCGGGGACAAAAGUGACGGGUGGUGCAUGGGUGUCAGUCAGCUCGUGUUUGAAAUGUUGGUGUAAAGUCCCGCACUAAGCGCACCCUUUCUGUUAAUUGUCGUCCUUCAUUUGGGCAAUUCAAACAGGCUGCCCAAGAUGAACCGAACGAAGGGGGGGAUGACGUCAAAUCAUCCUGCCCCCUAUGACCUGGGGUACCCCCCUGCUUAAAUGGGAACAACAAGGCCGAAGCAGCCCGUGAGGUCCAACAAUUCUUCUAAAACUUCUUUCAAUUCGGGAUGCAGGUUGCAAAUUGCAUUCAUGAAGCUGGAAAUCGUAGUAAUCGGUGAUCAGCACGCCCCGGUGAAUACGUUUCCGGG